GGUGGUGGGGAAGAACAGGAACCGAGGAGCGAUCGGCCAGGGAGAAAGAAUGAGAGAGAGAGAAAGAGAGAGAGACAGAGGAAGGGAAACCAGAAGAGGAGGAGGAGAAGGACAGAGUCUCCUGCCACAGGGAAGAACUGAGCGACUCAUGAAAGAUUUCAUAUGAUAUAGUUUUCCAAGCAGGAGUCAAGAACAUGAUAAAGCAACUUCCUAGGCCAUAUUAUAUUAGACAGCAAGCUGCCUUCUUUAUUAUGAGGGUAAAUAAUAUCCACAAGCUUCAGAAACACCUAAUUUUGUUAUUAUAUUCUCA